UACGUAGGGGGCAAGCGUUGUCCGGAUUUAUUGGGCGUAACGAGCUCGUAGGCGGUUUGGUAAGUCAGGUGUGAAAUCUCCACGCUCAACGUGGAGGGGCCACCUGAUACUGCCAUGACUGGAGUCCGGUAGAGGAGUGUGGAAUUCCCGGUGUAGCGGUGAAAUGCGUAGAGAUCGGGAGGAACAUCAGUGGCGAAGGCGGCCAUCUGGGACAACACUGACGCUGAGGCACGAAAGCGUGGGGAGCAAACAGG
rnacentral:rRNA from 1 species